rnacentral:rRNA from 1 species
GAUCAAGUGUCUUAAGGGCAUUUGGUGGAU